CCUACGGGCGGCACCAGUGGGGAAUAUCGCACAAUGGGCGCAAGCCUGAUGCAGCCAUGCCGCGUGUAUGAAGAAGGCCUUCGGGUUGUAAAGUACUUUCAGCGGGGAGGAAGGCGAUAAGGUUAAUAACCUUGUCGAUUGACGUUACCCGCAGAAGAAGCACCGGCUAACUCCGUGCCAGCAGCCGCGGUAAUACGGAGGGUGCAAGCGUUAAUCGGAAUUACUGGGCGUAAAGCGCACGCAGGCGGUCUGUCAAGUCGGAUGUGAAAUCCCCGGGCUCAACCUGGGAACUGCAUUCGAAACUGGCAGGCUAGAGUCCUGUAGAGGGGGGUAGAAUUCCAGGUGUAGCGGUGAAAUGCCUAGAGAUCUGGAGGAAUACCGGUGGCGAAGGCGGCCCCCUGGACAAGGACUGACGCUCAGGUGCGAAAGCGUGGGGAGCAAACAGGAUUAGAUACCCGGGUAGUC
rnacentral:rRNA from 1 species